GCUGGCGGCAUGCCUAAGACAUGCAAGUCGAACGAAGUCUUCGGACUUAGUGGCGCACGGGUGAGUAACAUGUGGGAAUCUACCUAAAGGUUCGGAAUAACUGCGGGAAACUGUAGCUAAUACCGGAUGAGUCCGCAAGGAGAAAGAUUUAUUGCCUUUAGAUGAGCCCGCACUAGAUUAGCUUGUUGGUGAGGUAAAAGCUCCACCAAGGCUUCGAUCUAUAGCUGAUUUGAGAGGAUGAUCAGCCACACUGGGACUGAGACACGGCCCAGACUCCUACGGGAGGCAGCAGUCGGGAAUAUUGGACAAUGGGGGAAACCCUGAUCCAGCAAUGCCGCGUGAGUGAAGAAGGCCCUCGGGUUGUAAAACUCUUUCAUCAAUGAAGAUAAUGACAUUAAUUGAAGAAGAAGCUCCGGCUAACUCCGUGCCAGCAGCCGCGGUAAUACGGAGGGGGCUAGCGUUGUUCGGAAUUACUGGGCGUAAAGCGUAUGUAGGCGGAUCAAAAAGUUAGAUGUGAAAUCCCUAGGCUCAACCUAGGAACUGCAUUUAAAACUAGUGAUCUAGAAUUUGGUAGGGGUUAGUAGAAUUUCCAGUGUAGAGGUGAAAUUCGUAGAUAUUGGAAAGAAUACCAGUGGCGAAGGCGACUAACUGGGCCAUUUUUGACGCUGAGAUACGAAAGCGUGGGUAGCAAACAGGAUUAGAUACCCUGGUAGUCCACGCAGUAAACGAUGAGUGCUAGUCGCUGGGUCAAUAGAUUCAGUGUCGAAGCUAACGCAUUAAGCACUCCGCCUGGGAAGUACGGUC
rnacentral:rRNA from 1 species